rfam:TPA: Bos taurus chromosome X, whole genome shotgun sequence.
UCCUUUGUAGCUCAGUUGGUAAAGAAUCUGCCUGCAAUGCAGAAGACUUGGGUUCAAUUCCUGGGUCGGGAA